rnacentral:rRNA from 1 species
UACGUAGGGUGCGAGCGUUAAUCGGAAUUACUGGGCGUAAAGCGUGCGCAGGCGGUUCGUUAAGUCAGAUGUGAAAGCCCCGGGCUCAACCUGGGAACUGCAAUGGAAACUGGCGGGCUUGAGUGUGGCAGAGGGGGGUGGAAUUCCGCGUGUAGCAGUGAAAUGCGUAGAGAUGCGGAGGGACACCGAUGGCGAAGGCAGCCCCCUGGGCCAACACUGACGCUCAGGCACGAAAGCGUGGGGAGCAAACAGG